CACACACACCUAGACGCACCUGAGAAAAUAUAUCUCAUCAAAAAUAAUCAAACAAACAUGUGAUGUACUAUUAAAUCCUGUUUCCUCAAGUGAGACAAAGGAACCGACCGGAUUUCUUGUCUUGUGAUAAUUGAAGUCUAGUUUUCCUGACGAUAAGUAUAUAUGUUACAAAGGAGCCACAAAGUGGAGAUGAUUGUAUGUGCAAAAAAAAAAAAUGAAUCAGGUUAAUCCGUGCCACGAAAAAAGCCAGAAAGUGAACAACUAGUGUGUCCCUUAGCCGACGCGGGUUUGAUCCUCGGACGUGUGUGACUCACACUUUUCUCUUGUUUUAGUUAAAAAGCCGCAAGGGUUCCUCUCUUAUUACAGUAGUUUAGUAUUUUUUGUCUAAAACUCAAGGUGUAGGCUAACUAAUUUGAUUUUUCAAUUACAAAAUAAAUGAAUAAAUAAAUUCAACUCAAAAUGCAAAAUGCGAGUUCCCUCGGUCACCCACCCGACCAGUCAUUUAUCAAGCCGAUGGCGAUUGUGCGUGCCUUUGGUACAGCUAGUAACCAAGGAAGCAUAUAUUCUCCCCGCAAAAAAAAAGGGAGCAUAUAUUCGGCCCAUCCAGAUCUGGUUCUACUCAUUUCCCUUUGCUCAAUGCUUUUGCUUUGCUGAGCAUCAUCGACCAGCUGGAAGCAACCCCAGUUUUGCAGGGUCUCCGUUCCCCCUUUGCUUGCUUUGAUCUCCAGCAACGAAGAAAGGAGAGGCUCGCAGCCAAAUUCAUACUCAUAUACGUAGCACAUAUAAGCUAGUGAUUGCUAGAAAGCUUCUUGCGCGCGUACUCAGAAAUGGACGGAGACGGGUUCGAGGAGGCGGAGCUAGAUGCACUGGAACACGUCGUACGCGAUACAAGUGCAGAGCCAAUGAAGCUGUCGUUGCCGCUUCUCUAGCAGAUAACAAAUGAUUUCUCCGAUGAAUCUUUAAUUGGUGACGGUGGAUUUUCAAAGGUUUACCUGGGAGUGCUCCCAAGUGGGUUACGUAUUGCUGUCAAGAGGUUUAACAAUAAUCAUACGGAUGAAAGGAAUUUUCAAAAUGAAGUUUCUAUCACAAUGAUGGCCGUUCACAAGAACAUAGUGCGGCCCAUAGGCUAUUGUGCUGACACGCAAUGUCAAGCCAUGAAAUACAACGGAAAACUUGUUUUGGGAGAGGUCCGCGAAAGGUUGAUCUGUCUGGAGUAUGUGUCCAAUGGAACCCUUGAAGGACAUAUCGGUAAGUAUGGUGAAGUUGACUGGAACCAGCGUUAUCAAAUUCUAAAAGGAAUUUGUCAGGGUUUGCGUUAUCUUCAUGACGAAGUGCACGUUUUUCAUGGAGAUAUCAAACCAAGCAAUAUAUUAAUAGGGGAUAAUCUUGUGCCAAAAAUUUAUGACUUCGGUUUGUCCCGGUCCUUUGAAGGACAAACUUCAUGCAUUGCCGAAAACAUUCGCGGAACUCUAGGAUAUAUUGCACCCGAGACAUUUGAUGGUAUAUUGUCAUUUAAGGCUGACAUAUACAGUUUGGGAGUUGUGGUCACGGAGUUAUUGACCGGGAGCAGAGGGUACGCGGACAUUGAUGAUGUGAGAAAACUUUUCAAUCCACAUUUGGAUCAAAGUGUUGCCAUCGAUUUAUUUUGAUUGAACUGGUGCGUACAAAUUAUCUGGGCUGAUCACAACCCGGUGCAGAGAAUUGCAAGAGGCAAAGGAUGUGUGUCUGCUCUGCUUUUUGCCGGUUAAGUAAGGACACCUGAUGUUCUCAAGUCACAUCCAAGUAUCAAUUUUUUUACGGGAUCAAGUAUCGGAAUUUCGUUGUACAUAAUGCAGCAAUAGUAGUUUGUGGGUUUUAUCCCAUCCACCUCACCCUUGGGUGUAGAAGAAUGGAGCAAACAUCUGGAAGUUAAAAAAAAGGAGCAACCAACUGCAGAUUACAGUGAAUCUGCCCAUUUGCACCUGAAACAAAAUGCCAUCAGAGAGCAUGACAUCAGCAUGGCAAUUCCAGACUUGUUCCCAGAAAGAAUAUCAGAAAGAAGCUCGUUGGCCAUCAACACUCGGCAGGCAAUAAUGCAUCAGAACAGUACGGUCGAUGUGAUUGAUGGGUAUGGACAAGUUGCAGCUAGCUACUCUUGAUCUUAUCUGCGACAAGUUGCAGGUCUCCCUUUCGAUUCACACGCAAUCAUGUGUUUUUUCUAAUCACCUGUCGUGGUCGUUAUACAUUAUUGUUGGCCAAUCACCGGUAUUAACAUAAAAAUAUGGCGCACGCAAAACCCCGCGGUUUCACAUGCCAACUGCCCUGAUCGAGGAUGGCAUCUAGGAGUAGCAGAGAGAGAUAUUUGCAAACUUGCAAUUUUACAGUUGGACCCUUCAAACUACAACCUGUACAAACAUACGGGAUUCAGAAACUUCCACGUGAAGCAAAAAAGCUCAAGUUGCACUUGUUGCUUGGCUACACACACACCUAGACGCACCUGAGAAAAUAUAUCUCAUCAAAAAUAAUCAAACAAACAUGUGAUGUACUAUUAAAUCCUGUUUCCUCAAGUGAGACAAAGGAACCGACCGGAUUUCUUGUCUUGUGAUAAUUGAAGUCUAGUUUUCCUGACGAUAAGUAUAUAUGUUACAAAGGAGCCACAAAGUGGAGAUGAUUGUAUGUGCAAAAAAAAAAAUGAAUCAGGUUAAUCCGUGCCACGAAAAAAGCCAGAAAGUGAACAACUAGUGUGUCCCUUAGCCGACGCGGGUUUGAUCCUCGGACGUGUGUGACUCACACUUUUCUCUUGUUUUAGUUAAAAAGCCGCAAGGGUUCCUCUCUUAUUACAGUAGUUUAGUAUUUUUUGUCUAAAACUCAAGGUGUAGGCUAACUAAUUUGAUUUUUCAAUUACAAAAUAAAUGAAUAAAUAAAUUCAACUCAAAAUGCAAAAUGCGAGUUCCCUCGGUCACCCACCCGACCAGUCAUUUAUCAAGCCGAUGGCGAUUGUGCGUGCCUUUGGUACAGCUAGUAACCAAGGAAGCAUAUAUUCUCCCCGCAAAAAAAAAGGGAGCAUAUAUUCGGCCCAUCCAGAUCUGGUUCUACUCAUUUCCCUUUGCUCAAUGCUUUUGCUUUGCUGAGCAUCAUCGACCAGCUGGAAGCAACCCCAGUUUUGCAGGGUCUCCGUUCCCCCUUUGCUUGCUUUGAUCUCCAGCAACGAAGAAAGGAGAGGCUCGCAGCCAAAUUCAUACUCAUAUACGUAGCACAUAUAAGCUAGUGAUUGCUAGAAAGCUUCUUGCGCGCGUACUCAGAAAUGGACGGAGACGGGUUCGAGGAGGCGGAGCUAGAUGCACUGGAACACGUCGUACGCGAUACAAGUGCAGAGCCAAUGAAGCUGUCGUUGCCGCUUCUCUAGCAGAUAACAAAUGAUUUCUCCGAUGAAUCUUUAAUUGGUGACGGUGGAUUUUCAAAGGUUUACCUGGGAGUGCUCCCAAGUGGGUUACGUAUUGCUGUCAAGAGGUUUAACAAUAAUCAUACGGAUGAAAGGAAUUUUCAAAAUGAAGUUUCUAUCACAAUGAUGGCCGUUCACAAGAACAUAGUGCGGCCCAUAGGCUAUUGUGCUGACACGCAAUGUCAAGCCAUGAAAUACAACGGAAAACUUGUUUUGGGAGAGGUCCGCGAAAGGUUGAUCUGUCUGGAGUAUGUGUCCAAUGGAACCCUUGAAGGACAUAUCGGUAAGUAUGGUGAAGUUGACUGGAACCAGCGUUAUCAAAUUCUAAAAGGAAUUUGUCAGGGUUUGCGUUAUCUUCAUGACGAAGUGCACGUUUUUCAUGGAGAUAUCAAACCAAGCAAUAUAUUAAUAGGGGAUAAUCUUGUGCCAAAAAUUUAUGACUUCGGUUUGUCCCGGUCCUUUGAAGGACAAACUUCAUGCAUUGCCGAAAACAUUCGCGGAACUCUAGGAUAUAUUGCACCCGAGACAUUUGAUGGUAUAUUGUCAUUUAAGGCUGACAUAUACAGUUUGGGAGUUGUGGUCACGGAGUUAUUGACCGGGAGCAGAGGGUACGCGGACAUUGAUGAUGUGAGAAAACUUUUCAAUCCACAUUUGGAUCAAAGUGUUGCCAUCGAUUUAUUUUGAUUGAACUGGUGCGUACAAAUUAUCUGGGCUGAUCACAACCCGGUGCAGAGAAUUGCAAGAGGCAAAGGAUGUGUGUCUGCUCUGCUUUUUGCCGGUUAAGUAAGGACACCUGAUGUUCUCAAGUCACAUCCAAGUAUCAAUUUUUUUACGGGAUCAAGUAUCGGAAUUUCGUUGUACAUAAUGCAGCAAUAGUAGUUUGUGGGUUUUAUCCCAUCCACCUCACCCUUGGGUGUAGAAGAAUGGAGCAAACAUCUGGAAGUUAAAAAAAAGGAGCAACCAACUGCAGAUUACAGUGAAUCUGCCCAUUUGCACCUGAAACAAAAUGCCAUCAGAGAGCAUGACAUCAGCAUGGCAAUUCCAGACUUGUUCCCAGAAAGAAUAUCAGAAAGAAGCUCGUUGGCCAUCAACACUCGGCAGGCAAUAAUGCAUCAGAACAGUACGGUCGAUGUGAUUGAUGGGUAUGGACAAGUUGCAGCUAGCUACUCUUGAUCUUAUCUGCGACAAGUUGCAGGUCUCCCUUUCGAUUCACACGCAAUCAUGUGUUUUUUCUAAUCACCUGUCGUGGUCGUUAUACAUUAUUGUUGGCCAAUCACCGGUAUUAACAUAAAAAUAUGGCGCACGCAAAACCCCGCGGUUUCACAUGCCAACUGCCCUGAUCGAGGAUGGCAUCUAGGAGUAGCAGAGAGAGAUAUUUGCAAACUUGCAAUUUUACAGUUGGACCCUUCAAACUACAACCUGUACAAACAUACGGGAUUCAGAAACUUCCACGUGAAGCAAAAAAGCUCAAGUUGCACUUGUUGCUUGGCUACACACACACCUAGACGCACCUGAGAAAAUAUAUCUCAUCAAAAA